CGCGUAGGCGGUCUGUUAAGCGUGUGGUGAAAGCUCGGGGCUCAACCCCGAGUCUGCCAUGCGAACUGGUGGACUUGAGCACUGUAGAGGCAGGUGGAAUUCCGGGUGUAGCGGUGGAAUGCGUAGAGAUCCGGAAGAACACCGGUGGCGAAGGCGGCCUGCUGGGCAGUUGCUGACGCUGAGGCGCGACAGCGUGGGGAGCAAACAGGAUUAGAUACCCUGGUAGUCCACGCCGUAAACGAUGGGCACUAGGUGCUUGGGGGAGCGACCCCCCGAGUGCCGGCGCUAACGCAUUAAGUGCCCCGCCUGGGGAGUACGACCGCAAGGUUGAA
rnacentral:rRNA from 1 species